AAUGAACGCUGGCGGCAGGCCUAACACAUGCAAGUCGAACGGGUCCUUCGGGACUAGUGGCGGACGGGUGAGUAACGCGUGGGAAUGUGCCCUUUGCUACGGAAUAGCCUCUGGAAACGGAGAGUAAUACCGUAUGUGCCCUUUGGGGGAAAGAUUUAUCGGCAAAGGAUCGGCCCGCGUUGGAUUAGGUAGUUGGUGGGGUAAUGGCCUACCAAGCCGACGAUCCAUAGCUGGUUUGAGAGGAUGAUCAGCCACACUGGGACUGAGACACGGCCCAGACUCCUACGGGAGGCAGCAGUGGGGAAUCUUAGACAAUGGGGGAAACCCUGAUCUAGCCAUGCCGCGUGAUCGAUGAAGGCCUUAGGGUUGUAAAGAUCUUUCAGGUGGGAAGAUAAUGACGGUACCACCAGAAGAAGCCCCGGCUAACUCCGUGCCAGCCGCCGUGGUAA
rnacentral:rRNA from 1 species